GAAUAUUGGACAAUGGGCGAAAGCCUGAUCCAGCAAUGCCGCGUGAGUGAUGAAGGCCUUAGGGUUGUAAAGCUCUUUUACCCGGGAUGAUAAUGACAGUACCGGGAGAAUAAGCCCCGGCUAACUCCGUGCCAGCAGCCGCGGUAAUACGGAGGGGGCGAGCGUUGUUCGGAAUUACUGGGCGUAAAGCGCGCGUAGGCGGCUUUGUAAGUGAGAGAUGAAAGCCCGGAGCUCAACUCCGGAAUAGCCUGUAAGACUGCAUCGCUAGAAUCGUGGAGAGGUAAGUGGAAUUCCGAGUGUAGAGGUGAAAUUCGUAGAUAUUCGGAAGAACACCAGUGGCGAAGGCGACUUACUGGACACGUAUUGACGCUGAGGUGCGAAAGCGUGGGGAGCAAACAGG
rnacentral:rRNA from 1 species